AUGGGCCCGGGGGGACAGGCUGCAGGGAGGAACGGGCCCCAGGGAAGGGGGCAUGGGGGCGGACAGGCUCCGCGGGGGAAGGGGACGGAGGACGGCUCCGGGAGGGACUGGCUCUGGGAGGGACGGGCCCCGGGGGCCACCCGCCAGCUCAGCCGCCACCGCAGGGCUCCGCCCUCCGCGAGCGCUCACCGGCUGCCGCCCAGGGCCACGCGCGCCAGCGGGAUCGGGACGGGGCUGCGGCCGGCGUCGGGCGGGCGGGGCAGACGGCAGCACUCGCGGCCCCCACCCCGCCGCGGCCGCUCCGCGGGACGCAAGCCCCAUUUCCGCCGGCGCCGGCGUUGCCGCGCGACGGUCCAGUCCCAAAGGUCCCCGAGCUGCCGCCGGCCCUGCCCGAACGUUCCGGGUGCGCAACGUUCCCGCUCUGGAGCAGGCGGCCCGGGCGCAGCAGCGUCCUGUCCCCUAGCCUCUUUGUGCCCCCUCAGCAUCCUUGUUCCCUCAGCAUCCUUGUUCCCCCUCGCUGUCCCUGUCCCUUCAGCAUCCUUGUCCCCCUCAGCGUCCUUGUCCCCUCAGCGUCCUUGUCCCUCUCAGCGUCCUUGUCCUCCUCAGCGUCCUUGUCCCCUCAGCAUCCUUGUACCCCCCUCAGCACCCUUGUCCCCUCAGUGUCCUUGUCACCCCCAGCAUCCUUGUCCCCUCAGUGUCCUUGUCCCCCCAGCAUCCUUGUCCCCUCAGCAUCCUUGUCCCCCCUCAGCAUCCUUGUCCCCUCAGUGUCCUUGUCCCCCCAGCAUCCUUGUCCCCUCAGCAUCCUUGUCCCCCCUCAGCAUCCUUGUCCCCUCAGUGUCCUUGUCCCCCCAGCGUCCUUGUCCCCUCAGCAUCCUUGUCCCCUCAGCAUCCUUGUCCCCCCUCAGCAUCCUUGUCCCCUCAGCGUCCUUGUCCCCUCAGCGUCCUUGUCCCCUCAGCAUCCUUGUCCCCCCUCAGCAUCCUUGUCCCCUCAGCGUCCUUGUCCCCCCUCAGCAUCUUUGUCCCCUCAGCGUCCUUGUCCCCUCCAGCUUCCUUAUCUCCCCUCCAGUCCACUCACAGCGUCCCCCACACCCUUGCCCCAUAGUCCCCCCUCCCUGCUUUCAUCCUCUGAGGGGCAGUGACUGGGCUCUUGAGGGUCCCGUCCCCAGGCUGCCUCCAUGCUCUCAGAGUGAUGGCCCCCAGGUCCUGCGUGGGACUCCGAGGUGCCAGCCCCCAGCUCCAGGCCGGCCCCCUCGCACGCCAGCCUCUGCAGAGCGGCACCCCCAGGGUCCCAGGGCCAGAUGGGCUGGGCUGGGCUGGGAGGGCAGCCCGAAGGUGCGGCCGUCUGAUCUGACCGUCAGGAGGUGUCAGGAACGACGCCUUGAUGCCAGCAGUAACGGCUAG
rnacentral:lncRNA from 1 species